rnacentral:rRNA from 1 species
CAGCAGCCGCGGUAAUACGAAGGGGGCUAGCGUUGUUCGGAUUUACUGGGCGUAAAGCGCACGUAGGCGGACUUUUAAGUCAGGGGUGAAAUCCCGGGGCUCAACCCCGGAACUGCCUUUGAUACUGGAAGUCUUGAGUAUGGUAGAGUUGAGUGGAAUUCCGAGUGUAGAGGUGAAAUUCGUAGAUAUUCGGAGGAACACCAGUGGCGAAGGCGGCUCACUGGACCAUUACUGACGCUGAGGUGCGAAAGCGUGGGGAGCAAACAGGAUUAGAUACCCCCGUAGUCCCUGUCUCUUAUAA